UCGAGGAUCUUCGUCAAUGGGCGAAAGCCUGAACGAGCGAUGCCGCGUGUGCGAUGAAGGCCUUCGGGUUGUAAAGCACGAAAGUGAAAAGAAAGGGAAACUUGAUCGAUUCACAGUAAGCUCGGGCUAAGUUCGUGCCAGCAGCCGCGGUAAGACGAACCGAGCGAACGUUGUUCGGAAUCACUGGGCUUAAAGGGCGCGUAGGCGGGUGCUCAAGUCUGUGGUGAAAUCCUCCAGCUUAACUGGAGAA
rnacentral:rRNA from 1 species